rnacentral:rRNA from 1 species
UACGAAGGGGGCUAGCGUUGCUCGGAAUUACUGGGCGUAAAGGGCGCGUAGGCGGCACUGUUAGUCAGGCGUGAAAGUCCUGGGCUCAACCUGGGAACUGCGCUUGAUACGGCAGAGCUAGAGGAUGGAAGAGGGUCGCGGAAUUCCCAGUGUAGAGGUGAAAUUCGUAGAUAUCAGGAGGAACACCGGUGGCGAAGGCGGAUCUCUGGGCCAUUACUGACGCUGAGGAGCGAAAGCGUGGGGAGCGAACAGG